rnacentral:misc_RNA from 1 species
GACGUAGUAAACAAUAAACAUACCUAACAAUUGCAAUAGUCAAUAGUGGAACUAUAACAUAUUAACUGUCAUUGAGUUGUUUACACGUUCAAAAUUUCGGUAUUUUGGCACUCCGUUUAGGUUAAUUUAUUAUGUAGUUUUCUAGUUUUUUUGGUGAAACAGUAAGAAUAAAUAAACAUUCUUUGGUCACCUUUAUGUUUUAGGGAGUAAGAACUAAUGUUUUGACGACGUGAUAAUACUUGUUGAUUUAGUGGUUUGAUUUUAAAACAGUGUAUGUUUAGAAGGUUAGAUCUCGAAUUUGUUUAUAAUCAUUCUUAUUUAGCUUAUAAUAUUGUAGUAGGUUGAAAGUGCGCGCGAAAUGGAUUUGCCUUCUCGAAAUGUUGAAAUCAAAGCAAAAGUUAGGGAUUUUGAGAGUAUUAUACUCAAAGCUGAAGAAAUGAGUGGGAAAGAACCCAUCAAACUGAACCAAAAAGAUAUAUUUUACCACUCUUUCUACAGAGAGAACCGUUUAAAACUCAGAGAUGAGAAUGGCUGUGGAACUCUAAUAUCUUAUAGUCGCCCUGAUUUGGAAGGACCAAAAUUAAGUAAAUAUAAGAAGUGCCAAGUUAAUGAUCCUUCUGCCCUGUCUGCCGUUUUGGAAGAUGCCUUGGGUGUGAAAGGUGUCGUGAAGAAACAGAGAUUUUUGUUUUUUGUUGGACAGACUCGUAUACAUAUAGAUCAAGUUGAAGGUUUAGGCAAUUUUAUGGAACUUGAGGUGGGUUUGAGAGAUACUCAGAGUGUUGAGGAAGGUCAGGUGAUUGCCCAAGAGCUAAUGUCUCAGCUCGGUGUCUCUGAACUGACUUAUACGUUUUGCUAUUAAUGUUUGCACAGGUGGGUUUGAGAGAUACUCAGAGUGUUGAGGAAGGUCAAGUGAUUGCCCAAGAGCUAAUGUCUCAGCUCAGUGUCUCUGAACUGACUUAUACGUGUUGCUAUUAAUGUUUGCACAGGUGGGUUUGAGAGAUACUCAGAGUGUUGAGGAAGGUCAGGUGAUUGCCCAAGAGCUAAUGUCUCAGCUCGGUGUCUCUGAACUGACUUAUACGUUUUGCUAUUAAUGUUUGCACAGGUGGGUUUGAGAGAUACUCAGAGUGUUGAGGAAGGUCAGGUGAUUGCCCAAGAGCUAAUGUCUCAGCUCGGUGUCUCUGAGACUGACUUAUUGGCAGGAGCUUAUAUGGACAUGAUGCAGAAACAUUCUGAAACCGUUUCCAUUUAAUUUUAAUAAACAUUACUUUUUAA